rnacentral:lncRNA from 1 species
ACCCCGCCCCUCCCUUGCUUAGUCGCUCGGCUGGCCCGGCUCACCUUCGGGGUGAAGGCUACCAGCGAGCGUUAUAGCAGACGACUUUAAUAAAUGCAGGCGGCAGCAGGAACUCUGGGAACUUGGGUGCCCUUGCCUGGCAGUAAGGGUUGAAUUAUCCGGAUCUGAAAUACUUUACAGAGCCGAGGGGUGAUAGGCUCUGCAAAAGCACUUUUUGCCCCUCUCCUUUAUGCCAAUACUCGCUGACUGUGCACACAAGUCAUAUUCAGUAUUAAAUACAAACCGGUCUGUAAUUCAAUGGCUCUAGCAAGACGCCUCUGAGAGGGCCAGGUGGCGGGUGCAAGUUGCUCAUUAACCCUUUAGAGUCGCAGUUUGCAGAUCUGAGUUAGAUCCCCGGCUUUGAGGUCCUUCAGUUGCCCUCCUCCCCCACCUCCCCCCGCCACUGCGAGAAAAAUGUGCAAAGAGAAGGAAAUUUGCACAUCAAACGAGGGGCAAUCGCGGCGGUAGAUGAACUUGAUUAGGCAGACGCGUGAGAUCAAAGUGGCCGGGACCAAAGCGGACAGGGUCCAACGUGCCAGCACUGCCAAGAGAAGGCCUUUUGUACUCAGGUUAAAUAAGAACAUCCUGCAAGGAGUCUGUUCUUUUAUGCAGCCUAAAGAUCAAGUAAUAAUCAUUGACACUGAUACUGAGCAUGUCGAUUUUGAAGAGACUAGCAUGAACCUUGAAGAAUCAUGUUCUUCCUAGGAAUUACAAAUCCCCCGAUUCCAUGUCUAACAUAAUUUCUACUGGCCUCUUUGCUUCUCAUGCUUUAGUACCAGUGCUUCUGAAUUUGAAAGUCUUCAUGCAAAUUGCCCAGGUUUGCUGGCAGCUGUGUCUCAGAAAAAGCUGUCUUCAGCAAGGCAGAAGCAGACCAGGGUGGUCCAGAGUUGGUGACUAUUAUGGCAUGGCUACCCAGGGCCAGAGAGGUGAGGUUUAAUGAGAAAGAAGAUAGAUGAAAAUGACUCCUCCUCCUGCUUUCACUGCUGCAGCAACUCAGGCCUGCAGACAAGAUCCAGCUCUAUUGCCCAAGCUGGAGUGCAGUGGUGAGAUAAUGAUUCACUGCAGCCUUGAUCUCCUGGGCUCAAGCAGUUCUCCUGCCUCAGCCUCCUGAGUAGCUGGGACCACAGGCACCCUCCACCAUGUCUGGCCAAAAUUUUUUGAAUUUUUUGUAGAGACCAGGUUUCACCAUGUUGCCCAGGCUGAUUUCAAAUUCCUGGGCUCAAGUGAUCUUCCUGCCUCAGCCUCUCAAAGUGCUGAGAUUACAAGUGUGAGCCACCACACCCAGCCAAAAUAUAAAUACGCCUUUAAUAGUAACACCUAAUUACCUAACACCAUCAAAAAUGGGGUGCUCCAUGAAGAAGCACAUAAUUCAAAUUAUUGAAGUUUAUCCCUUCUAAUGACCACAUAGAUUUCUCUUGCCCCAUUAAAAAAUUAGAUAAUCAGUAUUUCUAGGAUAGUUGUUUUCUUCCAACCAAUUAAGGCAUAAUCUAUGUAGCAGAACAUUCAGAGGAUGAUGCCUGGUCAACAUUUGAAUAAACAAUCACUGUGAUGUUACCUCUAUUUAAGAUGACUCCAAUAAAACUUCUAUGGUUUGCAUUAUUAGUUGAUCAGACUUUAAGCAUUAUCUUUUGAUAGGGUCAAGGAACCUGUCUUAACUCCCCAUCUCUGACCAAAAUAUACUUGUUUUCUAUAAGCUAUAAAGCCAGAUAGCCAAUUUUAUGAGAAUUGUCCCUAUACUAUAUCCAUGUGAGCGAUGAGUGCCUGGCAUGAAGAUGCAUAAAGGAGGCAGUAAUAUACAACAACUGAAGCAUAACCUCUGGAGCCAGUCUUCUUCAGACAAAUCCCAAUUCCAUUACUCACUGGCCACCUAAACAAGCUACUUAAUUCAUCUGCCUCAGUUUUCUUCAACUGUUUAAUGGGUAUGAUCAACAAACCAACUUCAGUGGGUUAUCAUAAAUAUUAAUAAAUGAGAGAAUGCAUGUGAAACAAAGCUAUAAGCAAUCAUUAGUAAUAAUAAUAAAAGAUGAUCAUUAUUUUUCAUGGAGUUUUUGCUAGUGCCAUGUACUGUUUUGUUAAUACUAAUUGCCUGAUUUUCUGUCCAUGAAUUUUUGGCUGAUCUAAGUUUCCACUUCCCUCACCCCUUGGCUGGGAUCUAGGUAUGAGAGUUGCUUGGCAAGCAAACUAGAGAUAAGUAAGGUGUUACUAUAUAAAGUUAAUGUAGGCACAUAUGAAUAUCCAAACAUGCCAUAAUGUUGGGGUUUGACCCUUUCCCUAAUACUCAGUUUCUUCAUUUGAAAUGUUCUAAUUGGUGUUUUUAUGUUGG